rnacentral:rRNA from 1 species
UACGAAGGGUGCAAGCGUUACUCGGAAUUACUGGGCGUAAAGCGUGCGUAGGUGGUUUGUUAAGUCUGUUGUGAAAGCCCCGGGCUCAACCUGGGAAUGGCAAUGGAUACUGGCAAGCUAGAGUGCGGUAGAGGGUAGUGGAAUUCCCGGUGUAGCGGUGAAAUGCGUAGAGAUCGGGAGGAACACCAGAGGCGAAGGCGGCGACCUGGACAGAUACUGACACUCAACUACGAAAGCGUGGGGAGCAAACAGG